AGCCCGGCUUUUGCCCGGUCUAAAAAGCCGGGAGAAUAAGCGGGGGGCAAGUCUGGUGUCAGCCGCCGCGGUAAUACCAGCUCCGCGAGUGGUCGGGGUGUUUACUGGGCUUAAAGCGCCCGUAGCCGGCCCGGCAAGUCGCUCCUGAAAUCCCAGGGCUCAACCCUGGGGCGGGGGGCGAUACUGCCGGGCUAGGGGGCGGAAGAGGCCGCCGGUACUCCGGGGGUAGGGGCGAAAUCCGUUAAUCCCCGGAGGACCACCAGUGGCGAAAGCGGGCGGCCAGAACGCGCCCGACGGUGAGGGGCGAAAGCCGGGGGAGCAAAGGGG
rnacentral:rRNA from 1 species